rnacentral:rRNA from 1 species
UACGGAGGGAGCAAGCGGUGUUCGGGAUCCUAGGGCGGAAAGCGCGGGUAGGCGGCCUGGUAAGUCGGGUGUGAAAUCCCGGGGCCCAACCCCGGAACUGCAUUCGAAACUGCCUCGCUAGAGUCCCGGGGAGGAAGGCGGAAUUCCCGGUGUAGAGGGGAAAUUCGUAGAUAUCGGGAGGAAAGCCAGCGGCGAAGGCGGCCUUCUGGACGGUGACUGACGCUGAGACGCGAAAGCGUGGGGAGCAAAUAGG